AUAUUCCCGUUGCUUCUUCCCACCCGUCCUCAUCACUACUCAACGAGCAUUAGGAACCUCACGGUUCAACGAUGUUAUUGUAGCGCAGCUUGGUUUAAGAUAUACAACUAGCAACGCUGAAACAAUUGUAUCUGACAACGCCGCUGCCUCAUUGUUCGCUUUGCUUAUAUAGACUUGUGUUUCUAGCACCGGGGUGCUCCUUGGGGAGAAAAAAGCGCCUACUGGGCUUCAGUGCGGAAAAAAAGAGGUGGAGAAGAGGACCGAGCUAAGUCGGGCGUGGUAAAGAAAGAAGAAAAAAAAACUCAUCUUUGUUAGCAAAACUUCAAAAAGUUGCACCCACAAUGUCGCUGUCGGUACCGCAGAACGGAGUAAAGGCGGAUAACGAACCCGUUAUCGAGCUGUUUGUGAAGGCGGGAAGUGAUGGAGAGAGCAUCGGGAACUGCCCUUUCUCCCAGAGGCUCUUCAUGAUCCUGUGGCUUAAAGGAGUCGUCUUCAACGUCACCACAGUGGACCUCAAGAGGAAGCCUGCAGACCUCCAGAACCUGGCCCCCGGCACACACCCACCCUUUAUCACCUUCAACGGCGAGGUCAAAACUGAUGUCAACAAGAUCGAGGAGUUCCUUGAGGAUGUCCUCUCCCCACCCAAGUAUAUCAAGCUUGGUGCAAGACACCCCGAGUCAAACACAGCUGGAAUGGACAUCUUUGCCAAGUUUUCAGCAUUCAUUAAGAACUCAAAACCAGAUGCAAAUGAGGCUCUAGAGCGCGGCCUCCUGAAGACACUGCAGAAGCUGGACGAGUAUCUUCGCUCACCACUGCCUGACGAGAUCGACCACAACAGCAUCGAGGACGUCAAAGUGUCCAACCGCAAAUUCUUGGACGGCGAUGAAAUGACCCUGGCUGACUGUAACCUGCUGCCCAAGCUGCAUAUAGUCAAAGUGGUGGCUAAGAAGUACAGAGGCUUUGACAUCCCCAAAGAGAUGACCGCCAUCUGGAAGUACCUGAACAUGGCCUACACGCGCGAAGAGUUCACCAACACCUGCCCCAGUGACAAAGAGAUUGAAAUAGCCUACGGAGACGUAGCCAAGAGGCUGGUCAAAUAAGCUCCUCUGUCCUGACCUCCUCCCUCAGCCCCUAAACACCCCCACCCCCCACCACCACCACACACCUCCCCAGCACUGGGACUGAUGUGCUCAUUCACGAGAAAGAAAAAACUCUGGACUUCUUUUCCUUCUCUCCUCACCUACAGCGACUCCCAAUGCAUGAACCCUUUUUUGUUAAUUUUUUUUCCCUCCAAUUUUUACAAAGACCUUUUUUUGUUUUUGUUGAUUCAGCAAAGGGUCACCAUUGUUCCACCUUUCAUCGUUAAUUGCUUUUGCUUUUCAUUUGCUGAUGAGUGUUGUGAAGCGACGGAGAAGCAGCCAGACACGUGUAUCAGUGCUUAUCAAUGUCGGGAGCGUCGUCAAACACGCUCCCUGAUAAGUGGCCUUCAAGCAGACCUUCCCUCUGCAUGCAGGGGAACGGUCACAAGCUGUUGAUUUUUUUUUUUUUCUGUUGUCUCUAUAAUAUUGAAAUAGCUCUUUCUAGGAUUGCUUUAAACUGAGACGCAGUUUUCUUCCCUGUCUUUUGGCUUAUUAAGAGGCAUUGUAAACAGUGUAGAAGCUAAUCCAAACCUGAGUGGUUGACAUAUCAAGUGAGAGAUGCUUUAUAUUAUUGUUGAGCUGCUUAAAAUAAAUCAAAAAUAAUUGUAACUGCAGGUAAAGCUACCUGGUAUCCAUGCUCUGAUUUCAUCAUUGCCUCAAAUAGGCAAAAGUCUGGUAGCUCAGUAGAAUUGUAGGGAAUUUCCUGUACCGGCUGCAGAAGUAACAACUCAGGACAAAUCUAACCUGAGGUCUAAGAAAUAUUUAACCACAUGUAGCUUACAGGCAUUCAAUGAGGAGUAGAUGUCUAGACUGGCCUUUUGUUAAUCACCACAAAAAAGCUUGCUAACUCUUUCUUCUCUUGUGAAGCAUGAAGGAAAGACUUCGGUCCUGCUGACCGUAGCUGUAGUUUGGAUUACUCAUGGCGGACCAAAAGGGGCACAUUAUACUGGUUUCACUGUGGAUAGGAUGACUCCGGCUAUGUAAGAAAUAAAGAAAUAAAGUAACCACACUCUUGUUUCCUUCUACAUAGCAUACAAAAUGAAGGACACAAAUGUGCAGUCGUGCACCAGGAAAGACGACUUGAAGAUAUUUAUGACAAAACGAAUGAGGAGAGUAGCAAUGAAACGAAUACCUUUUCUCUUCGGUAUGUAGAUUGAUCUCUAUGGUAGUGAAUGUAUGUUAUGAUACAGUAGCUCCAAAAGUGCUUUAGUGCGGAAUAAGCAAAACCUGUUUUGUUUUCUCCCGUUUGCCAUGUUUUUUCAAAAAUUUGUUAUGACAUACAUUUGAUUUAAAAAAAGAAAAAAAGGAAUUGUAAAUAUUUGUUUGAGCACUCAGAAUUCAAUGUGUACAUUUUAUACAUAUCUGAAUUUUGAGGAAAAUGGGCUAAUUUCUUGCCUGCUUGGAUUUUUAACUCUAGAUAAACCAUCUCCACUUUGCCUUACUUGUUUGUUUUUUUUUCUCUCUGCGGAUGUUUUGCAGAACAGUUAUUCAGAGAUCAUUUCAUUAUGACACAAGUGUGAUGUACAAAGAAAAUGUCCAAGCUAUGUCAUGGCUUUUUUUUUUUUUUUUUAACAGUAUUGACUGAAUUGAAAUAAACUUAUUGGCACUUGA